UAAGGGUGGUCGUCUGUUUAUGACAAUCCUGUUAUGCGAUAAUUUGAGGUUACCAAUGGGGCGCAGCUUAUGCAGAGGCGUACAGUCAAGGGGUAGAUACAGACGUACCCUACUUAAAAACGUCUCUACAAACGUAAUUUUCAGGUUACGAAACGUUUAAACGGGAAAGAAAUACAUUUCAGGGCAAAAGCACUAUAUAAUACUGUAAAAUAUACGUAUGUUCUUCCUGUUUUUAAAUAUCACGUCAUAAGCUACUGCUACCCUUGUGAUCAUAAUAUUUCCCAUCAUGCCUCCGUGAUGGGAUUCUGCUCUCCUAUUGACGAUGACUUUUCAAUUUGAGUGUCGCAGUAUGAUGAUGUGCACAGGCGCGACGGUGUUAUGGUUUCCACUGUGGCUCGACAUCUGAGCCAAAUGAGCACAAGGCUCCUUGUGUUUUUGUCUCACAAAGAGUUUUUUUCAGCCCACAGACGGUUCAUUAUAUUAGUAGCACAUUUGAGCAUAAGUCUUCACGCCUUUUUGUGUGACGAAGAGCGAGCGAGGCACCAUCGAUCUUGUGAAAGAGGACAUUGCCUCACUCGAAAGUCCGAGAAGAACUGAACUGGGCCAAGACUGCUUCCACUGCAACACUGACUGCACUGACGAGAGCUGCAGCAAGAACACAGGUGCAGAGAGGACAAGCGGUGUCCUCUCAUGGGAUGUGGGACAUCUUCGCCCAUCCAGGAUGCGUCACCUCUCUGCACGGCUCCAGCGAACGACACACUGCGAACAGCUGGCAUUGGCAGCAGUAAAACAAAUAAAAAUAAAAAAGAAGAAUGACUUAGAGGAAUAAAAAAAAUAAAAUUUAACAAGCGCAAAAGAACCCAUGGCAGAGAGAAGCAUCAGAACUAAAAAUGUUGGUAGGUAUCAUCAGCGAUGAGAAGACGAGGAGGAAAAAUGGGACUACAGAUGAUUUGAAGAUGGAAUGAAUCCUAGUAUUGUAUAAAACUGGGAGUUUUCCAUGAUCAAAAAAUCUUUUUUCCACAAGUUUUUUAGAAUUUCAUAUAACUCAAACUUGGUACAACUACAUACUCUUUAUCGGAUUACGACAGAGACCAUUUUAAUGGCUACAUAUAGAAAAGUGUACCUGGCAAAUAUAAAUGAUGGUAAAUAAAUUAAUCAACAAUUAUAAAGACACUCAUAGGUCGAUUGAUGGAUCCAAAACUUGUGAGAUUUGCCAUUCAGCUCCUUGUAUGUUCUCAUAUUUCGUAAUUUGUAUGAGCACUAAUCUAAUAAAUAAAUGUGAAUGUUCAAGUUGUGAUGCCCGUGUUUGUUUGGAAACUACCGUUAAUUUGAAAAUCUAAAAUAACAGAUGUGACAAACAAUGACAGACGGGGAGACAAGGAAUAGAGAGUGACGUGCACCCAAUCUGACAGCAGCAGAUGUCCCCCUUGAAAGCCUAUUUUCUCAGUUUAUAGUGGACAAAUAGUACGAUAUUCUUAACACUGAUUUCUGAUUACAAUCAUGACACUCUAGGGAAUAAAGACAAUACAGUAAAGAGAGAAAAACAGACAUGAUAUAUAUAUUGAUGGAAGAAGAGAAAAAGAUCUUACUGGCCACGCGUGGCUGCUGCGAAGCCUG